rnacentral:rRNA from 1 species
ACGGGAGGCAGCAGUGGGGAAUAUUGCACAAUGGGGGAAACCCUGAUGCAGCGACGCCGCGUGAGUGAAGAAGUAUUUCGGUAUGUAAAGCUCUAUCAGCAGGGAAGAUAAUGACGGUACCUGACUAAGAAGCACCGGCUAAAUACGUGCCAGCAGCCGCGGUAAUACGUACGGUGCAAGCGUUAUCCGGAUUUACUGGGUGUAAAGGGAGCGUAGACGGCAAGGCAAGUCUGAAGUGAAAGCCUGGGGCUCAACCCCGGAACUGCUUUGGAAACUGUCUGGCUAGAGUGCAGGAGAGGUAAGUGGAAUUCCUAGUGUAGCGGUGAAAUGCGUAGAUAUUAGGAGGAACACCAGUGGCGAAGGCGGCUUACUGGACUGUAACUGACGUUGAGGCUCGAAAGCGUGGGGAGCAAACAGGAUUAGAUACCCUGGUA